rnacentral:rRNA from 1 species
CCCUUAGACGUUCUGGGCCGCACGCGCGCUACACUGACCAGUGCAACAAGCAUCCGUCCUUGGCCGACAGGCUCGGGCAAUCUUUGAACGCUGGUCGUGAUGGGGAUAGACUUUUGCAAUUUUUGGUCUUCAACGAGGAAUUCCUAGUAAACGCAAGUCAUCAACUUGCAUUGAUUACGUCCCUGCCCUUUGUACACACCGCCCGUCGCGCCUACCGAUUGAAUGGUCCGGUGAAGCCUCCGGAUUGGCGCGCACCUCGGUGCCGCCGAGAAGUUGGCUAAACCUUACCAUUUAGAGGAAGGUGAANUCGUAACA